GAUUAUGGCUCAGGAUGAACGCUAGCUACAGGCUUAACACAUGCAAGUCGAGGGGUAGCAGGGUAGCAAUACCGCUGACGACCGGCGCACGGGUGAGUAACACGUAUCCAACCUUCCCAUAACUCAGGGAUAGCCUUUCGAAAGAAAGAUUAAUACCUGAUAGUACUUUUUCAAGGCAUCUUGAGAAGUUAAAGAUUUAUGGUUAUGGAUGGGGAUGCGUUCCAUUAGAUAGUUGGUGAGGUAACGGCUCACCAAGUCUUCGAUGGAUAGGGGUUCUGAGAGGAAGGUCCCCCACAUUGGUACUGAGACACGGACCAAACUCCUACGGGAGGCAGCAGUGAGGAAUAUUGGUCAAUGGGCGAGAGCCUGAACCAGCCAAGUAGCGUGAAGGAUGAAAGGUCCUAUGGAUUGUAAACUUCUUUUAUAGUAGAAUAAAGUGAUCCACGUGUGGAUUUUGUAUGUAUACUAUGAAUAAGGAUCGGCUAACUCCGUGCCAGCAGCUGC
rnacentral:rRNA from 1 species